rnacentral:tRNA from 1 species
GGAGAGGUGCUCGAGUGGUUGAAGAGGCACGCCUGGAAAGCGUGUAUACCGCAAGGUAUCGAGGGUUCGAAUCCCUCUCUCUCCG